UAGAGACAGGGUUUCACCAUGUUUGCCAGGCUGGUCUCAAACUCUUGAUUUAUUUGAGACACGGUCUUACUCUGUUGCCCAGGCUGGAGUGCAAUGGCAUGAUCAUAACUCUCUACAGCCUCAAACUCCUGGGCUCAAGCAAUCCUCCGACCUCAGUCCUCCAAGUACUGAGACUGCAGGUGUGUACCACUAUGCCCAGCUAAUUUUUUUUUUUUUUUGUAAAUUAGUUUUUUAGUUUUUGUGGGGAUGGGUGGGGGGGGUCUUGCUAUGAUGACCAGGCUGGUCUCAAACUCCUGGCCUCAAGCUACCCCUCACUGUGAGAAAAGAAGCCAAACUCCUCCAGGCCGGGCGCGGUGGCUCACACACCUGUAAUCCCAGCACUUUGGGAGGCCGAGGCAGGCGGAUCACGAGGUCAGGAGUUCGAGACCAUCCUGCCAACAUGGCGAAACCCCGUCUCUACUAAAAAUACAAAAAUUAGCUGUGCGUGGUGGCGCAUGCCUGUAAUCUCACCUACUUGGGAGGCUGUGGCUUCCCUCAUUUCCCUCCAGCCACCCUCCUCUCUUCAUUAUUUCCAAAUUCAUCACACUUUCAGCUUGUUAUCUAUGGCAGAUAACCUCAUUAUGGCAGAAAAUAAAUUUCUCCUUUUAAAAUAUUUUUUUUUUGUUUAUUUAUUUAUUUAUUUUGAGACGGAGUCUCGCUCUGUCACCCAGGCUGGAGUGCAAAGAAAAAAAGGCCGGGUGUGGUGGCUCACGCCUAUAAUCCUAGCACUUUGGGGGGCUGAGGAAGGUGGAUCACAAGGUCAGGAGAUUGAGACCAUCCUGGCCAACAUGGUGAAACCCCAUCUCUAGUAAAAUAGAAAAAAUUAUCUGGGUGUGGUGGUGCGCACCUGUAGUCCCAGCUACUCAGGAGGC
rnacentral:lncRNA from 10 species